UACGUAGGGUGCGAGCGUUACUCGGAAUUACUGGGCGUAAAGCGUGCGUAGGUGGUUCGUUAAGUCUGAUGUGAAAGCCCUGGGCUCAACCUGGGAAUGGCAUUGGAAACUGGCGACCUAGAGUGCGGUAGAGGGUAGUGGAAUUCCCGGUGUAGCAGUGAAAUGCGUAGAGAUCGGGAGGAACAUCCGUGGCGAAGGCGACUACCUGGACCAGCACUGACACUGAGGCACGAAAGCGUGGGGAGCAAACAGG
rnacentral:rRNA from 1 species